rnacentral:rRNA from 2 species
GGACUACUGGGGUAUCUAAUCCUGUUUGCUCCCCACGCUUUCGUGCCUCAGUGUCAGUGCUGGUCCAGAGAGCCGCCUUCGCAACUGAUGUUCCUCCCGAUCUCUACGCAUUUCACUGCUACACCGGGAAUUCCACUCUCCUCUACCGCACUCUAGCCCGCCAGUAUCCAUCGCCAUUCCCAGGUUGAGCCCGGGGCUUUCACGACAGACUUAACGAACCACCUACGCACGCUUUACGCCCAGUAAUUCCGAGUAACGCUUGCACCCUUCGUAUUACCGCGGCUGCUGGCAC